rnacentral:rRNA from 1 species
GACGAACGCUGGCGGCGUGCCUAAUACAUGCAAGUCGAACGCAGUGGGGACGGGUGAGUAACACGUGGGUAACCUCCCAUCAGAGGGGAUAACCCUUGGAAACAGGUGCUAACCCGCUACUGAUGGAUGGACCCGGGGUGCAGUAGCUAGUUGGUGGGGUAACGGCUCACCAAGGCCACGAUGCAUAGCCGAGCUGAGAGGAUGAUCGGCCACACUGGGACUGAGACACGGCCCAGACUCCUACGGGAGGCAGCAGUAGGGAAUCUUGGGCAAUGGACGAAAGUCUGACGGAGCAACGCCGCGUGAGUGAAGAAGGUUUUCGGAUCGUAAAACUCUGUUGUUAGAGAAGCGGUAUCUAACCAGAAAGCAACGGCUAACUACGUGCCAGCAGCCGCGGUAAUAC